rnacentral:rRNA from 1 species
GACGAACGCUGGCGGUGUGCUUAACACAUGCAAGUGGUGCGACGAACCAGGCUUCGGCCUGGGGCAAAGCCGCGAACGGGUGAGUAACACGUGGGUAAUCUGCCCCGAUGACCGGGACAACCCGAGGAAACUCGGGCUAAUACCGGAUGUGGUGCCCAGACAUAAGUCUGGUCACUAAAGGUAGCUUCGGCUUCCGCAUUGGGAGGGGCCCGCGGCCCAUUAGCUUGUUGGUGGGGUCAAGGCCUACCAAGGCAACGAUGGGUAGCUGGUCUGAGAGGACGAUCAGCCACACUGGGACUGAGACACGGCCCAGACUCCUACGAGAGGCAGCAGUGGGGAAUCUUGCGCGAUGCGCGAAAGCGUGACGCAGCAACACCGCGUGAGGGAAGACGGCCUUAGGGUUGUAAACCUCUUUCAGAUGGGACGAAGGUUGUCCGGUGAAUAGCCGAGAUGAUUGACGGUACCGUCAGAAGAAGCUCCGGCUAACUACGUGCCAGCCGCCGCCGUAAGAC